AUCAUUAUAGCUUUGAUUUAGUGUACAGUUCUGACCUAUGCCUGAACUCUAGUUCAAAUGCCGGCUGGAUGAGAUGGAGAAAUAUUUGGUAGUUUGCAGCUAUGCGAUUGCAAUUCUGGAUCUAUUGUCCGCAGUGCUUUUCGCCAGUGUCUCUGGAAUGCUAUAUGCACAGCACCAUCACUGGACGUCGCUGGCAGCGCUUGCUUUUGCCAUCAUUUGGAUUUGCCUCAUUAUUGUGCUGUUGCUGGGUAUUUAUCGGCGCCAGUUGAAUUUCGUGCGCUACUGGUUGGUUUUCACCUGCUUGGGCAUUAUGCUGGAUGCCUUUCUCUUACUUUACGGAUUGACACUGGCGGUGUGCAUGAACUGGGAGGGCGUUAAGUUGACCGUUAUGCCAUUCGCUGGGUUGGCUGUAGAAAUGACUUUCGUGUUCAUUAUAUACGUAUUCUACCUGGAUAUUAUUGAGAGUGAGCAGUGGAUACCACUGAGAUACACCAGAUUUAAAGCCGGCUGUAGCUUAAAGCACAGCAAAUACACCUCUAGUAGUGCUGGAAUACUGCGAAGGGAGCGCAAGCGUCUAAGGAAAAUGUACACGAGAGACGAGAAAGCUGCCUUUAAGGAGCCACACCGUAAGCUGCGUAGAGGGCAGCCUUAAUUACCACAGCACACCUAUAAUUUAUGCCUUUCUGUCAAGUCGGGAAAAAUGGAAAGUAGGCCAAGCGUUUCUGCUGCUCAACGUUCUCGGAUAAGCUAUCAAAUGUCGUCAUGCAGCCGGAGAAGACUACGCUCUUAUAUUGCGCCUAUGCUAUAGCCGUUUUCGAUCUGCUCUGUGCUGUUCUCUUCGCUGCACUCAGUCUGUUCAAAAUCUAUUCACAUUUAAGCUGGUUAACCAUAUUUGCCGUCUGUUUUGCCAUGUUUUGGUUAACAUUGAUUGCUUUGCUUAUCUAUGGCAUUUAUAGCCGCAAAUCGAAGCUCGUCAGAUAUUGGCUUAUAUUCUCAUGUGUGGGCAUUGUCAUAGAGAUCUGUCUGUUGAUUUAUGCUUUCUUUGGCAAGAGCACUUUUCAAAUAGGAGUGGUUGACAAUCGUUUGACUCUAUUCAUUGGUUUAUUUGUUGAAACAUUUUUUGCUUUAAUUAUCUAUCAAUUCUAUCAAGAGCUCUCGGAACGCAUUCCAGUUGUCCGGGAAAGUAAGCAGCCUCCUAUAGACCCACCGCUGCUAAAGGUGGUACAACAGCCAAAGGAAGAGCCGCAACCAAAGGCAGAGCUACCGCCAGAAUCAAAAGCUAGUACUGUGUCGCCUUGUCGAAGCUACCGAUCCUACAGAUGCAACAUAUUGCAAACUAACGCCGAUGCAUGCCCCAACACCUACACCUGCGGACCAAUGCAGAAACAAAAUCGAUCCUUAAAUAAUGCAGAACGUUGAAAUCUUAAGGUUGU